rnacentral:snRNA from 1 species
GUAACUUCUCAGCCUUUUGAUUGAGAUCAAGUGGAGUCACUGUUCUUGUUAGUUUAAUAUCAGAUGCACCCUCUAAGAAUGAUAUAUUAAGUGUAUUUUUAGAGAGGGAAAAUGGAGUAGCUUGUUAUGUCCACCCCACACAUUGGCUUGGUAUUGUAGUAGUCCAGGAACAGUGUACCCCAU